rnacentral:rRNA from 1 species
GAUGAACGCUAGCUACAGGCUUAACACAUGCAAGUCGAGGGGAAACGACAUCGAAAGCUUGCUUUUGGUGGGCGUCGACCGGCGCACGGGUGAGUAACGCGUAUCCAACCUGCCCACCACUUGGGGAUAACCUUGCGAAAGUAAGACUAAUACCCAAUGAUAUCCCACGAAGGCAUCCGAAUGGGAUUAAAGAUUUAUCGGUGAUGGAUGGGGAUGCGUCUGAUUAGCUUGUUGGCGGGGUAACGGCCCACCAAGGCUACGAUCAGUAGGGGUUCUGAGAGGAAGGUCCCCCCACAUUGGAACUGAGACACGGUCCAAACUCCUACGGGAGGCAGCAGUGAGGAAUAUUGGUCAAUGGGCGAGAGCCUGAACCAGCCAAGUAGCGUGCAGGAUGACGGCCCUAUGGGUUGUAAACUGCUUUUAUAAGGGAAUAAAGUGAGUCUCGUGAGACUUUUUGCAUGUACCUUAUGAAUAAGGACCGGCUAAUUCCGUG